rnacentral:rRNA from 1 species
AUUGAACGCUGGCGGCAGGCCUAACACAUGCGAGUCGAACGGUAACAGGAAGAAGCUUGCUUCUUUGCUGAUGAGUGGCGGACGGGUGAGUAAUGUCUGGGAAACUGCCUGAUGGAGGGGGAUAACUACUGGAAACGGUAGCUAAUACCGCAUAACGUCGCAAGACCAAAGAGGGGGACCUUCGGGCCUCUUGCCAUCGGAUGUGCCCAGAUGGGAUUAGCUAGUAGGUGGGGUAACGGCUCACCUAGGCGACGAUCCCUAGCUGGUCUGAGAGGAUGACCAGCCACACUGGAACUGAGACACGGUCCAGACUCCUACGGGAGGCAGCAGUGGGGAAUAUUGCACAAUGGGCGCAAGCCUGAUGCAGCCAUGCCGCGUGUAUGAAGAAGGCCUUCGGGUUGUAAAGUACUUUCAGCGGGGAGGAAGGGAGUAAAGUUAAUACCUUUGCUCAUUGACGUUACCCGCAGAAGAAGCACCGGCUAACUCCGUG